AUGUGCAGGGAGGAACGACCAGUGGACACCUUGCUACUGCUCGGGGACGAAGCGGCCAUGGAGAUUCCUCCUCUGCUCCCAAGUCCUUAAUCUGUCGCAAUUAAGAUUGGCACUUCCUACAUCCCUCCUUUAGUUGCUUAGUCACUAGACACACGCAGCUAGGUUUUCUUUGGUUCAUUGAUAUGGUUCAUCUUCAUCAUGAUGGAUGUGCCCUCACAACCAAAAGGAUCAACAUACCUCCAUGGAGAUUAUUUAAUAACCUAGGUAAGGAUAAAACUAUAAAACUAAAUAGGACACACCUACAGUACGACACCAAUACAGCGGCUCAAGUCUGAACUAAUUAACUGGCGGCUGAUGAUUUCAGUGAAAGAACUCUUUGUUUUUACUUUUUUAUUUUCUUGGUGUAUCCGCAGAUUGCACCGUUUUUCUGUAUGAGAGGCACUAUUAGAGCCACCAUAAUAAUUCUAGAAGAGAGUUUUAAAGAACCAUCUGAUGUGUUAGCCAAUCAAAUGUAGGGUGUUACAUUAUAGAUUGGUUCGAGAGAGAGUUGGUUCAGUACUAUAGGCUUGUGCGUGACAACAGAAAUAUAUUAAUCCAAGUGGACAUUGUUUUCCUCCAGAAACAAGGUAGAUCCAUCUGGGAUGUGACAACGAAGUGCUGAGCAAAGAAGUGGCUUGGUGGGGAUGGCAUGCUUAAUUUGAUCUACUUUAAAUUAUCAUGCACCUUCUUUCCUUUUACUUAUUAGUUCUCUCCCUGAAGCUAGAAAGACACCGUGACAUGCAAAUUUGAUCCUAUCAACCUCAAGAAUUAUCUUUUCCUUCUAAAUGUCCCAGCAGAAGAUAAGAUUUGGCUUCACUGAUGUAAAUAAUUCUAAGAGGUUUGCAUCCUUCCUUUUUACUUAUGUACAUUAUUGAUGAUGGUGCUACCUAUGCACAUAUUCAGGUUGCAGCUAUAUUCAUUGUAAGCAGAAGUUUUUUUUGAAGAGCUAUCUUUCGGGCACAUGCUCAGUUUCAGAUGACUAAAAAACUGGCUUGGUUCAGUUUGCUAACCAGCAGGAGAACAGAAGAGAAGUGGUACUGUCACUCACAUUGCCGGCAAGGUCGUCAGUGAGGCGGUGCCGCGUGGGAGAGGAAGUCAUAGGGGGUCGCUAGAUCUCACAGGGAAGAUCAGGGGAGAGAGGAGCUACCGCGCAUCCGUGCCAAAUCUGACAGACGGCCAUGCUUUUGUGCUAGGUCUGGGUGCCACGGCUGAGGUUCUGUGGAGGAGCAUGUGACACACAAAGCACGAGUAGAUGGAGUGGAGGUGUAGGGAGCACCGGGAGGUAGCUUCGUCCUUACCACGGGCGCUGGUUGGAGAAAAGAAAGGGUGGCGCUGGGUGGUGAAAUAACACGAGGAAGAAAGAGGAGCUCCCGGUGGGAUUGGGGAUUUGGUACUGUUGUUGCUGUAGAUAUUGUACUUUGGCAUCCACUAGAAGUUGCUAUACAUGCACUCGCAUUGAUUUUUUUUCAAAGACAACAUGCCUACUUUUGAAUUCCACCAACAACAUUGUCGGUGAUGUAAUAUUUUAAAUGUUAAUGUCCA